rnacentral:ncRNA from 2 species
CUCUAUGCGCCGGUUCAAGGUUCCUCGGCGGCCGCCAAGCCAACGGGGAUUAAAAGGGAACACGGUGCGACGUACCCAUCAGGGCGCAAAACCGUGGCUGCCCCCGCAACUGUAAGCGGCGAGCUCUUCCGUAGACACCACUGACCCGACGGGUUGGGAAGGUUCGGAGGCGCUGUGACCCGCGAGCCAGGAGACCUGCCUCGACAGCUCACUGUAA